rnacentral:misc_RNA from 1 species
UUAAGUUCAGCGGGUAUCCCUACCUGAUCCGAGGUCAACCUAAGAAAGUUGGGGGUUAUUGGCAAGCAACCGCAAGGCCCAAUCGCGAGAGAAAUUACUACGCGUAGAGCCAGACGGCACCGCCACUGCUUUUAAGGGCCGCCGGUACGGCGAACCCCAAAUCCACGCGGAGCGUGAGUGGUCAUAAUGACGCUCGAACA